rnacentral:rRNA from 1 species
UACGAAGGGGGCUAGCGUUGUUCGGAAUUACUGGGCGUAAAGGGCGCGUAGGCGGUGUGUCAAGUCAGGCGUGAAAGCCCCGGGCUCAACCUGGGAACCGCGCUUGAGACUGGCACGCUCGAGUUCGGGAGAGGAUGGUGGAAUUCCCAGUGUAGAGGUGAAAUUCGUAGAUAUUGGGAAGAACACCGAUGGCGAAGGCAGCCAUCUGGACCGACACUGACGCUGAGGCGCGAAAAGCGUGGGGGAGCAAACAGG